AGUAAUUGAAUAUGGAGCUUGUGAUUGAGAUGAAUAUGGUGGUCGGGUGGUUGGAUGGUGGAUUUGCACUGCAUCUGGUUGUGACAUGGCUGAUGGUGCAUGUUUGACAUGGAGAGACUCCUGGAUCUGUUGCAUGGUGUGGAUGGUCCCAUGGCUGUGACCGUGGUGGCUCCCGGGAGGUGUGGAGGGCUUCGUACUAUUUUUAUAUUUUUAUUUUAUUUUAUGUAUAUGUUUUUUGGUUUACUAUGUUUGAAUUUGCUAAUGUUCUUAUUUGUUUAUAUGAUAUGUUGGUUAGUAUUAUAUAGUUAUGUUUGUGGUUGCUGUGUUAAUUUAUCGUUCUAAUAUUUGAUAUGAUAUCUUGAUAGUCUGGAUGUGGUGUUGUAUAUGGUUUAAGUUUCAAAAUUGUAAGUUCUGGAA
rnacentral:lncRNA from 1 species